rnacentral:lncRNA from 10 species
AGUCCCCCAAAACCAGAUGAGCUACCCAAGAACAACUGAAGAGUACACCCAUCUAUGUGGCAAAAUAGUUGGGAGAUUCAUGACUAGCGGUGACAAGCCUACCAAGCCUGGUGAUAGUUGGUUGUCCAACGUGGAAUCUUAGUUCAACUUUAAACUUACCCACAGAAUUAUUUACUCUCCCUGUAAAUUUAGCAUGACAAAUCUUACCCCACCUGUUUACCAAAAACAUCACCUCUAGCAUUACCAGUUUUAGAGUCACUGCCUGCCCGGUGACAUAUGUUCAACGGCCAUGGUAUCCUGACCGUGCAAAGGUAGCAUAAUCGCUUGUUCCCUAAAUAGGGACUUGUAUGAAUGGACACACAAGGGUUCAGCUGUCUCUUACUUUUAAUCAGUGAAAUUGACCUAUCUGUGAAGAGGC